AUUUUUUGCAACAUUCAAAUCUAUCAUUCAACAACUUAAAAGGUAUUAACUCCUAUCCUAUUGUAUUGGUGCUGAUUCGAAGUGCAUAUGCAAUAAGACUGCUCCUUCAUUUGCCUCUGAAGACCGUGCCUGUUUGGACUGUGAUGAUAGACUUACUCAUUAGUGUAGGUUUAAAUUCUGAUGAUAUGUACAUAAAUUUGAAUUGUGUGAUUAGGACUGUUAAGAUUAUUAAAUUGAAGUAUUCAUUCAGUGGUGUUGUAGGUUAGUUUAGUAUCAUGUUCAAUUAGAUCUCGUUUUGUUAC